AUCCAACUGACGAGUCCCAAAUAGGACGAAACGCGCGUCCUGGNN
rnacentral:hammerhead_ribozyme from 1 species